rnacentral:rRNA from 1 species
GGACUACACGGGUAUCUAAUCCUGUUUGCUCCCCUAGCUUUCGCGCCUCAGCGUCAGGUUUGGCACAGAAAACCGUCUUCACCACCGGUGUUCUUCCACAUAUCUACGCAUUUCACCGCUACACGUGGAAUUCCGUUUUCCCUUACCAACCUCUAGCUGGUCAGUUUCUAAUGCAGCUCCGGGGUUGAGCCCCGGAAUUUCACAUCAGACUUCUCCUGCCGCCUACGCGCCCUUUACACCCAGUAAUUCCGAUCAAUGCUUGCACCCUCCGUAUUACCGCGGCUGCUGGCAC